rnacentral:lncRNA from 1 species
CAAACAGACCUAUAAAAAUCCAAUUGCACAUGUUGGUUUAAUCUAUUCAUAUUUUUAUUUAUGUUUACAUCGCUUAUAUGGUCAUCUGAGGUCAAAUCGAUACGUAAUAAGAUGGCGUCUGGACUAAAAUACACACGAAACGAACCUAAAUAUUAUCUUCCCCAUGCUCUGUAAACUGUUUAUUUUAGACUUUUGAUAGUUUGGAUAAAUGUUUUACAUUGUUAUAAAUCA